GUACCUGUGUGCAGAGCGGAUGCUUAAUCUCAGGGAAGACAUGAUGUCGAUAGUAUCGAUAGAUUAGAACUGCACAGUUAAAUCUUAUGUAACGUUCAUAAUAAGCAAAUCAUAAAAAAAACAUAUGCUGUCCAUCUCUAUGCAUAUAUAUUUUUUGAAAUAAAUCCAGUUUUCUAUCGACCAAAUUAGUGACACAAAACAAAAUUUAAUACGAAAUUACUUGUUAUUUUAUAGCGAAUGAUAUUUCUGCCAUUAUUUUAUAAAUGAUAACUGAUGUAUUGGCAACUGAUUAAAACUAAAACUACUAAAAUCCAACCAGUAUUUUUUUAUUUAUUGAUUGAUGUUUUUGUAAUCAAUUCGGGGAUUUUUUUUACCGAAACCAAUAAUGUUGGAUAUCUCAGAAACUAGCCACUUUCCGCCCAAGGACCUCAGGGCUAAUUUCGUAGGAAAUUAGUUGUGUUAUCACCUCCCGAGAGGAAUACGUCGAAUUCAUAGUCAGCCUGUAUAUAACGGAGGUUAAUAAAAUUUAGUUUUGUAGAUAAUUAUGAGAAAAUUUCGAUACUUUAUCGAUAACACUGCUGCUACACUGUACAUCCCUACAAUACACGUCUGUGUUGUAUAGAUGUACUGUGUAAAUAAGACUAGUUACAUUCGUGCGGGGCAGCGUCCUGGUCCGCGCAAAUCUAACCAGUCUCAUUACGUACUGCCCGCGAUACAGACGUAUUUGACAAAAUAAAUAAAUACAUUAUUGAUUAUUCUUUGUAUUUCAAUAUUACUAACGAACGAACGAAGUUACUAGUACAACGAAGGUGGGAGAUAAUACAGUUUACGCUGUCCGUGACCAAGAUGGCUGCCACACUAGCGACGGGUCGGUGUAGCGAUUAUACUACAUUUGACAUCAUGGCGUCGUGGUUGGACGACAACUCGAGACUGCGAACAAACCUGCAGCACCAGAUCGAGUGGAAUAACAACUUUGUUACGUGUAGCAGCAACUUAUUGUAGAUUAUUUAAAGAGUUUUUUGAUUGUCGAUACCGCAGAUAUAAUAUUAUGGCAUACUCUAAAAGAUAUUAAUUAAACAAUUUGUGACAUGUCGCGGCAAUUAAUUGUAGAUUAUUUAAACAGUUUCUUGAAUGGCUCCUGUGCGCCUUGAAUGUAAUAAUAUUUGAUGGUGAUGGUUUUGCAAUAAAAUUACUAUGACAUCA